rnacentral:tRNA from 2 species
GCCCGGGUGCUGGAAUGGUAUACAGACACGGCUUAAAACCGUGCGAGCUUGCUCAUGAGGGUUCGACUCCCUCCCCGGGCA